CCCUUGCUCCCACCUAUACACUUUUCCACUUUCUGCAAUAACCAUCGACGAACUUCAACUGAAUAACUGUCCGCCCUAUUAUUUCACACAGGUGACUGGGAUGUGUAGCGUGUGUGAGGAGGAGAUGGAAUAUGCUGGGGGAGAAAGAGGCGCUGCUCUGGGCUAGGUAAGAGGAGACCUGUGGUCAAGAAGAGAGCUCCAGUAUUGGAAGGCCAGCUGAGGAACUCACCAAACAGCUGGGAGUGUUCACGCUUUCAUUAUGCCAAAAGAAAAGAGCCUGAAAUAAAGUUUCAACUCAGCAGAUGUGGCAAGAACAAUCACAGGGGUGGGAACAGAGCAACACGUUUUCACACAUUUUUCAGUUUCGGGUCAAGUUGACCUUAAAUAAAAAGUGAAAUUUUUGGAAAGUUAA